rnacentral:rRNA from 1 species
CCCUUAGAUGUUCUGGGCUGCACGCGCGCUACACUGAUGCGUUCAACGAGUUAUUAUUUCCUUGCCCGACAGGGUUGGGUAAUCUUUUGAAAACGCAUCGUGAUGGGGAUAGAUUAUUGUAAUUAUUAAUCUUCAACGAGGAAUUCCUAGUAAGUGCGAAUCAUCAGUUCGCGCUGAUUACGUCCCUGCCCUUUGUACACACCGCCCGUCGCUCCUACCGAUUGAAUGGUCCGGUGAAGCGUUCGGACCGUGGCCUUUGGACGGUUCGCCGUCUGUUGGCUGCGGGAAGUUCGUUAAACCUUAUCAUUUAGAGGAAGGAGAAGUCGUAACA